GGAAAAAGUAUUUGACCAUAUAUGGGCCAACUUCCGCUUUUAAUCUUUCUCCAAAUCCCCUCGCUGCUUGACUUGUAGGACACAGGCUUCGAUCCUUGGUUUGUUAUCGGGGAUCAGCUACAAACCAAUCCAUCUCCAUAUCCUCUUAUUGCUCAAUUUCAUGCCAUCAUGUUUCCGCAGGUCGCUUAACUUUUUGUUUUUUUUAUUGGAGACGCUGCUUCUUUUUUCUCUCGCUUUUGUUUUCCAUUAACAAAGUGAGAGCAAUGUCAUCAAUCAAUUCCGUUUUCCGUAGAAAUUCUUUGUCAACCUGGAUUAGAGCAAAUUUAAAAGUGAGGAGAAGCUCAUUUUGUACUGACAGUGUUGAUGGAUCCACUACUUCAAGAGUCAAGAUUUUCGAUCGUGAUCUCAAACGUAAACAGCGUGAUCGAGCAGCGUGGUUAACACGCUCAGAUGAUUCAUUUGUGAAUUCUGUGGCUGAGAAUCUUUUAGAUCGCCUAGAGGAUUGCAAAAAAUCAUUUCCCACAGCGUUAUGUCUCGGAGGCUCUCUAAAGGCGAUAAGGCAUUUGCUGCGUGGGCGUGGCGGUGUUGAAAAGCUCAUUAUGAUGGAUACUUCAAUUGAUAUGGUCAAAUUAUGUAAGGAUGCUGAGAAGGAUAUGCCUGACCAAAAUGUUGAAAUAUCUUUUGUCGUAGGUGAUGAAGAGUUUCUACCAGUGAAAGAAAGUUCAUUGGAUCUGGUCAUCAGCUGUUUAGGACUGCACUGGACAAAUGAUCUUCCUGGUGCCAUGAUACAGAGCAGAUUGGCGUUGAAGCCUGAUGGUCUCUUCUUAGCUGCCAUUCUUGGUGGAGAAACAUUAAAAGAAUUGAGGAUAGCAUGUACCGUUGCACAAAUGGAACGUGAAGGUGGCAUUAGUCCCCGUUUAUCUCCUCUGGCACAGGUACGAGAUGCAGGAAAUCUUUUGACAAGGGCAGGCUUCACUCUUCCAGGUGUUGAUGUAGAUGAAUAUACUGUCAAGUAUGAAAGUGCUUUGCAGUUAAUUGAACAUCUUCGUGCAAUGGGUGAAACUAAUGCUCUUGUGCAGAGGAACAAUAUUUUGAAUAAAGAGACUGCACUGGCAACAGCUGCUGUCUAUCAAUCAAUGUUUGGGGCUGAAGACGGUACUGUACCUGCGACAUUUCAGCCUGCUGGAAUGGGGAACUGUUGAAUCUCUUUCCCGUGUUCUGCUUUGAAUUUUCUGGUGGAGCACAUUGCAUAUGUGCCUUAAGGAAAACAUGUGAAGCUGACAUCUUGGUCAUGAGGUGAUCUUUAUGACAGGGUGGAAAGAACACUCAUCUCAACAGAAGGCUAAAAGGAGAGGAUCUGCCACGGUAUCAUUUGGAGACCUUCAGAAGCAAUUUGGAAAUGAAAAUUACUAGCUCAAACAAGUUUUAACUUUUGAAGUUUUUGCUGUUUUUGGUUCUUAGUAAAUGUUAUAUCCAGAUUUUAAAAAUUUGAUCGUUUAUGAGGAGUAAGAUGAUGUUAUCUCGAUCAUUGCAUAACUAGCAAUUAUAAGUUGGAGCACUGUACAAUAGCA